GACGAACGCUGGCGGCGUGCUUAACACAUGCAAGUCGAACGCUGAAGACCUGGCUUUUGUUGGGUUGGAUGAGUGGCGAACGGGUGAGUAACACGUGAGUAACCUGCCCUCUUCUUUGGGAUAACGCCCGGAAACGGGUGCUAAUACUGGAUAUUCACUGAUCUUCGCAUGGGGGUUGGUGGAAAGGUUUGUUCUGGUGGGGGAUGGGCUCGCGGCCUAUCAGCUUGUUGGUGGGGUGAUGGCCUACCAAGGCUUUGACGGGUAGCCGGCCUGAGAGGGUGACCGGUCACAUUGGGACUGGGAUACGGCCCAGACUCCUACGGGAGGCAGCAGUGGGGAAUAUUGCACAAUGGGCGAAAGCCGGAUGCAGCGACGCCGCGUGAGGGAUGGAGGCCUGCGGGUUGUAAACCUCUUUCGCUCAUGGUCAAGCCGCAACUGUGGGUUGUGGUGAGGGUAGUGGGUAAAGAAGCGCCGGCUAACUACGUG
rnacentral:rRNA from 1 species